UAAAAAGCGCUGCCAAUACCGAUAUCUUUAAUGAAACUACCUUCUAUAAUUAUGCCAUGGUUUUAACCUACAUUAUGGGGAUUUAUUUGGCAUAUAACAAUUUAAACCCACUUGGUUACGGAAUCCGGUACAAUGUAAACGUACUAUUAAAUUUUUUGGACUGGUGGUAAAUAUACAAAUUGUUUUAUAAUAAGUAAUGUUAAUUUAUAUAUCUUCUUUGCAAAUAUAAGAAAUAAAUUUACAUAAUUUUUAUCGUUGCGUUUUGUGAUUUUGUAAAUAUUCUUUUCGAUAGAGGGGGUGAUUUAUCCUCACUAGAAAACUUGAACAAUUCCAACAAGAUAAAUCGAUACAGUGCUUCAUAUUAUGAAGCUUUAAUGUGUAAAUGAUUACAGGUUAUUAGUCGAAAGUAGUCACAAUCGUAAAUGGCUACCGGUUAAUAAAAUCAAUUGACCUGCAUCAACAAUCAUUUUGAAUUCAAGCAGCAACGAUACAAUUCAAGCAUCAACGGCGUACCUUUCUAUUUUGUGCUAUUAGCAUUUUUUUUUUCUUUUUACAAGGACGAGAUUUAUCCUCACUAGAAAACCUGACAAAUUCUAACAAGAUUAGAAAGAUUACAUGUCUGGCACAUCCAUAAAAUUGGAUUUUUAACUUCGCAGACAAAUUAGCGGACCUUUGAAAAUUUUUCUUUGAAUUUAAUCAAGUCAAGCAUCAACUAUCGGCGUACCAUUGGUAUUUUGUUCUUUAUACAAGUAUGUUUUCAUUAGUGUCAUAUAAUUAUGGCGAGUUUUGUGUCGUAGACACAAAAAAAACCAAACCAUUUGACGGGGACGGAUAUAUUUUUAAAUACAAAGGCGGAUCCUAUCUGGGAACGAUAAUAGCAAAAAGCGACAACAAGGAAGAACUUUCUAAUUUAAAGAAUAUAAAAGAAGACGAAGCCAAAAGGCAAGAAACACAGCCAAAACAAAGAAUACUUAUUCAUCACAAGCGAUGGAAACUGUAAGGGAUUCUAUACAAAAUAUGUCAUCGUCCAUAAAUAAUGAAAUGUUACAAAGCCUAAAAACUUUUAGCUUGGUUGCUUACGACACUGAUGAUUAUUUUGUUAUUAACUCAAAAACUAUAACACAACUCCAAGGCAGUGAUUGUGUUGUGAAAUAUAGAGGUGGUUUUUAUUCUGCAAAACUAAUUGCAUCUUAUGAUGACAAAAAGAAACUUCUGGAAUUAAAGCGAAUGAAAAGAAGACAAAGUCACUCAAAACAUGUAGACCAAAAGCCUACAUAUGAAGUAAAUAAAUGUAUACCAAAUUCUACAACAAAUGUCCAGAAGAGUUCAGAACCAGAAAUUAUAAAUGACAAUUCAAUGGAACUACAAAAUAAAAACCAUCACGAAACAUCGGGAGAAGAUUCAAAUUAUUCAUCAUAUCAUCCCCUUUCGGACGGACAAUACGCAAGAGGUGGAGCAGUGCUGAAAUUGAUUCCGUUAAAGAAACAUUGGAGAUAUUUUGGCCUUGGAGAAGUUGCCUUCCAUAAAGCAAUGUGCAGCAGCUAUAGAAAAAAAUAUCUGCCUAUGUAAAAGAACACCGGCUCAAUUAAAAACAUGGAUAGACAACCAGCGAAAAAAGUUGCCGUUCGAGGAAAUUAAACAAUUUGAUUUCCCCACUUUCAACACACAGUCACCGCCACAACAUUCCACGGACCCAGUGUUUUCUUACUUUUUUUAGUGAUAUAAGCUUUCAUGCAUAUGAAAUACUCUUGCCCAUGUAUGGGAUAUGUUCACACACACGCACACACAAUUACAAUAAUUUUAUUUCAAAAUAUUUUUAUCAUGUUUUAUUAAUUCUAUGAAUGCUGUAAAAUUUUUAUUGACGAUUAAUUUAAAUUUAAAGCCUAUUCUUUAAUAAGUAUUGAAA